rnacentral:rRNA from 1 species
UACGGGGGGGGCUAGCGCUGUUCGGAAUUACUGGGCGUAAAGGGCGCGUAGGCGGUCUACUAAGUUGGAUGUGAAAACUCUGGGCUUAACCCAGAGCCUGCAUUCAAAACUGAUAGGCUAGAGUUCUGGAGGGGAUAGCGGAAUUCCUGGUGUAGCGGUGAAAUGCGUAGAUAUCAGGAGGAACACCGGUGGCGAAGGCGGCUAUCUGGACAGAAACUGACGCUGAGGCGCGAAAGCUAGGGGAGCAAACAGG